GUGGAGCCAGCCGGGCCUCCCCUCAUGGCAGCCACCCUCAGACUGCUGGUACAAAUGUGACCUUGCAACUUCCCUAGGAGCAUUUUUAAUUCCUGCCCAUAAAAUCCUCCUGCGAACUAAACAGAACUUGCAGGUGACUGGCAACUGGCUGUUGACUCCCCUUGCAAUGUCCAGCUAAUUUAAAUGCCGGAGAUGACACAGAGAUGAGGACUAAGUAGAGGUCUAAGUAGACCCCUACUCCAGCAAAACACCUGUGUCCAUUCCAGAUUCCUGGAAAGCCACGCUCACUGCAGCUGCAGAUCCACACUCAUCACAGAAGCCAAAGGAUCUCAUGCUGCUAAAAUGUGUAAAGUGUAAAACCAACAUCCUGAAGCACUCAAACUUGGAUGGACAACCAAGGCAGAAAAAGAAUAGAAGGAAAAAAGACAGCUACUUUGUUAUGCCGUAUCACAGCAGAGAGGGAAGGGCAGCUCCC
rnacentral:lncRNA from 1 species